rnacentral:rRNA from 1 species
GAACCUGCGGAAGGAUCAUUAAAGAAUGAUAUUUGGGUAUUAAUUUACUCAAUCUAUCUGAACUUGUGGUAAUAUUGAUAAAAACAUUUGGGCUUUAAAAUGGUAGUCAUCGUAAGAUUGGUUAUCGGCUCAAAAAACUUUAUACACCUCUUUUAUUAUUGACUGAAUUAUCAAGUAAAUUAAUCCAUUGAUUUGGGUUAAAAAAAAGUUUUAAAUAACUUUCAACAACGGAUUUCUUGGUUCUCGCAUCGAUGAAGAACGCAGCGAAAUGCGAUACGUAAUGUGAAUUGCAGAUUUUGUGAAUCAUCGAAUCUUUGAACGCAUAUUGCACUCUUUGGUAUUCCGAAGAGUAUGCUUGUUUCAGUAUCAUGAAAAUCUCACAAUUUUCAAUUUUUUUUUGAAAAUUAGUGGACUUGGGUUUGCGAUUCUCUAGAAUUGCUAAUCUGAAAUGAAUUUCAUGAAGCUAACAUGCUUUUAAUCUUUGCUUAAUAGUUUUGCUUUGUCAAAUCUUUUGCAUCGAUCUUAAAAGCCAAAAGUGAAUUGAUUUUACGAAAAUUAAAAUCUCAUUU